CUGUGCUCGAACAGGAGAGGUUCUCAUACUCCACGUCCGUGAAGGCCCGGUAGACGAUCAGUCAAAAAGCAAGACGUGUGUUGAGAAGGAGCAACGAAACCGUGAGAUGGCAAUAAGAUUUAUGAGCUGGCAAAAGAUUCUCCUCCACCACAUUGCUGUUAGGCGUCCACUGCUGCUCCUCGGAAUUAUUUUUGGCUGCUUUCUUUGCCUCCUCAACCUUCUUCUUGGCCAUCUGCUGCUGUCGUAGCCGUCGCUGCUGCUCCUCCUCCUCCCGCUGCCGUGCCUCUCUCUGCUGCCGCUCAAGCUUUUGCUGCUCCUUGGCUGCUGCUGCCAUCUGCUCAUUCUUCAGCCGGGCCUCCUUUGCUCGCCGCAUCCGCUCCUCAUUACACCUGAGGGAAGCUCCUGAAGGCGCAAACUCUCCAUCUCCUCCCUGGUGGGGCGUGCUGGCUGGGUCUUGAUGAAGGAAGUGACACCAGUGAUAAUGUUUGCAGGACGGCGGCCUUCACUUGGGGUCCCUACUAUCUUCUAGAGCAUAGAG